rnacentral:rRNA from 1 species
GGGGAAUAUUGCACAAUGGGCGAAAGCCUGAUGCAGCAACGCCGCGUGAGUGAUGAAGGUCUUCGGAUCGUAAAGCUCUGUCUUCUGGGACGAUAAUGACGGUACCAGAGGAGGAAGCCACGGCUAACUACGUGCCAGCAGCCGCGGUAAUACGUAGGUGGCAAGCGUUGUCCGGAUUCACUGGGCGUAAAGGAUGUGUAGGCGGAUAUUUAAGUGAGAUGUGAAAUCCCCGGGCUUAACUUGGGGGCUGCAUUUCAAACUGGAUGUCUAGAGUGCAGGAGAGGAAAGCAGAAUUCCUAGUGUAGCGGUGAAAUGCGUAGAGAUUAGGAAGAAUACCAGUGGCGAAGGCGGCUUUCUGGACUGUAACUGACGCUGAGGCAUGAAAGCGUGGGGAGCAAAC